rnacentral:antisense_RNA from 1 species
ACGACCCUACACUGGACAGGCUGCGGCUGCCUCAGGCCAGGGAACAGAGAUGCCACCCCGUGACCUGCCAGAGCCCUCACAUGAGUCCUGUCUCCAAUCUGCCUGACCCACAGAACCUCGGGGCCCGGGAGAGGGAACCAGGCUAAGCACCUGCACCCUUGGCCCACCUUGACCUUGGCAAACGGGGAGAGGAGGCCGGCCAGAAUCUCCAUCCAGGGGCGUGAGGCAGAGAGGAUGUCCCACCCUCCCUGGAGGACAAGGGGCCCUGGUCCGUGCCACGUGCUCCAGACACUCUGGACCCAGAGCAGCGGGAAGGCCAGAGGCCCACUUGGAGCUUUCACCCCAGCCGGCCUCGACUCAGGGCCCACGGAGGCAGCUCCGAGAGGGAAAAGGGACUCCACGGGGGGCCUCGGCUCUUCUGACCUGGGGGUCACUACCCCUCCACAUUUAUGGACACUCAUUUUAACCAGAACCACACCAAUAUUAAUAAAGUUCCAAAAAGGAUGUGUUUGCG